CCUUCAUGUUUCCCUUCCUAUGGUGCUUUAUUGUGAUAGCAAGUCUGUGAUUAGUAUUGCUCACAAUCUAGUCCAGCACGAUCGCACCAAGCAUGACUGAUAUGUGUU